rnacentral:lncRNA from 1 species
UGCUGAUCGAUCACCAUGGGUGCUGCGGCCGAGCUGCACCAUCUGUGCACGGUGCAGAAAGAAUUUCUCCCGGGAGAAAACCCUAAAGAUGGUUAUCAAAGGGUCUAUAUCCAAUCUUCUAUAGCUUAAACUUCAGAAAGCUAAUGGAGAUACUUUGUAACGAUGACAAGUAGAACCAACUCAUGCAUUGUAUCUACAUCUAAUGGCACCCAAAUUCUGCCAUGGAAAACUGGAAAUUUUAUCAUUCCAUGCAUAUCCCUUAUGCACCUUCUCCUACAGGACAG